GGAGGGCGCCCCCGCCGCCAUGGGCCGGGCGACAGCGGGGCCCCAGCGGUUCCCCGGGCGCCCCGCAGCGAGGACCGGGCAGACGGAUCUUUUCCCUUUUCUCCACGGAGCUGCAGAAGAAACUCAGGAAGUUCUCUCAAUUGUAUUUCUGCCAAAGAAACUGCAGAGUCAGCCACCAAGCUCAAAACAAUUUAAGUACACUGGAUAGGAAAGUCACAGACAGAUAAAACCUGAGAAUGCAAGUGAAAAGUACUGGGGAAUUGUAAAUGCCUAUUUAAAGUCAUGAAAACAAAAUCCAGAGGAGGGCAGCCCUUGUUAGUGGGAGGACGGAACGUAGCUUAUGUG